CAGCUCACUCUACUCCUCAUCGCCCUGCCUCACUGCAAGCUUACCUACCCUCCCGCAUUCAGCUGGAGGCUCCCGUUUUUUAACGGCGCCUCACGCUGCCCCGCAGUUGUUGCCAGACCUCCCGGUUUUCAGUGUCUUCACUGUGAAACCCUGGACCGCGCAUGCGCAAGUCCGGAAAUGCCGGGAGACGGGUCUGCAUGAGAGAUGAUGGACACCAUGACGCGUUCGCUUUUUUACCCGGGAUGGAUGCGCUCUGAGAGAGAGUGGUCACCGCGGACACUUUAGCUGCACUGUAGCAGUCAUUUCAUCCUCAGUGCUGGGAGCUGUUGGUAAGGUGGGCCUUCUCCAUGGAUGAAAAUGUGAGGUUAAACAACCAAGUGAAUUUCAUCUCUGUAUAACUGUGAGGCCAUCUUUGCAACAACGCUUAUACUGAAGGUACAGUAGAACCGCAGGAGUAGUAGACACAAGACAGAGUUGGCCACUUGACUUCCAGUUGACGUCGUGUCGACAUCCAGUUCACGUUCUGUUGACGGCCCUUCUCAUUGCCAUUUUGUCCCGUUGAUGUCCUGUUAUCCCCAGUUGUGUCCUGUUGUUGGGUUGCUGCAGUUAUUGUGCAAGUUUACCCCCCUUUACCAAGGACGUCCUGCUUGUGAUGUAGACCUGAACCACCGCCAUGUUACAGAGCCACCCUCAGGUAUUACGAAGUAGCCUUCCCAAAGUGCUAAGUACCCAACGUGGACGUGAAGUGACACGACAGUACCCCAGCUGUACCAUGGACGUCCUACUUGUGAUGUGGACCCGGACCUCCGCCAUGUUGCAGAGACACCACUCAGGUCUUAUGGAGUAGCCCUCACAAGUACCCCCCCUGGAUGUAAAGUGACACUACAGUCGUCACCAACAGCCUCCCACAAGACCUUCAAUACCACCGCAUUUCAGAAAUGUCCUAUUUUAAAUUUAUUGUUUAUAGAAAAAACA